rnacentral:rRNA from 1 species
CGCGUGAAGGAUGAAGGUCCUCUGGAUUGUAAACUUCUUUUAUCUGGGACAAAAAAAGGUCUUUCUANACCCCUUGACGGUACCGGAUGAAUAAGCACCGGCUAACUCCGUGCCAGCAGCCGCGGUAAUACGGAGGGUGCAAGCGUUAUCCGGAUUCACUGGGUUUAAAGGGUGCGUAGGCGGGUAGGUAAGUCAGUGGUGAAAUCCUGGAGCUCAACUCCAGAACUGCCAUUGAUACUGUCUAUCUUGAAUAUUGUGGAGGUAAGCGNAAUAUGUCAUGUAGCGGUGAAAUGCUUAGAUAUGACAUAGAACACCCAUUGCGAAGGCAGCUUACUACGCAUAUAUUGACGCUGAGGCACGAAAGCGUGGGGAUCAAACAGGAUUAGAUACCCUGGUAGUCCACGCCCUAAACGAUGGAUACUCGACNUACGCGAUACACUGUGUGUGUCUG